GUCGAACGGUGAACACGGAGCUUGCUCUGUGGGAUCAGUGGCGAACGGGUGAGUAACACGUGAGCAACCUGCCCCUGACUCUGGGAUAAGCGCUGGAAACGGCGUCUAAUACUGGAUAUGUGACGUGAUCGCAUGGUCUGCGUCUGGAAAGAAUUUCGGUUGGGGAUGGGCUCGCGGCCUAUCAGCUUGUUGGUGAGGUAAUGGCUCACCAAGGCGUCGACGGGUAGCCGGCCUGAGAGGGUGACCGGCCACACUGGGACUGAGACACGGCCCAGACUCCUACGGGAGGCAGCAGUGGGGAAUAUUGCACAAUGGGCGCAAGCCUGAUGCAGCAACGCCGCGUGAGGGACGACGGCCUUCGGGUUGUAAACCUCUUUUAGCAGGGAAGAAGCGAAAGUGACGGUACCUGCAGAAAAAGCGCCGGCUAACUACGUGCCAGCAGCCGCGGUAAUACGUAGGGCGCAAGCGUUAUCCGGAAUUAUUGGGCGUAAAGAGCUCGUAGGCGGUUUGUCGCGUCUGCUGUGAAAUCCGGAGGCUCAACCUCCGGCCUGCAGUGGGUACGGGCAGACUAGAGUGCGGUAGGGGAGAUUGGAAUUCCUGGUGUAGCGGUGGAAUGCGCAGAUAUCAGGAGGAACACCGAUGGCGAAGGCAGAUCUCUGGGCCGUAACUGACGCUGAGGAGCGAAAGGGUGGGGAGCAAACAGGCUUAGAUACCCUGGUAGUCCACCCCGUAAACGUUGGGAACUAGUUGUGGGGUCCAUUCCACGGAUUCCGUGACGCAGCUAAC
rnacentral:rRNA from 1 species